AGUCGGGCCUCAGUUGCCAGGGGCGACGAGCUGGCUUCCAGCGGGUGGCUGUGCCCGCGCGCCCUGCACCUCGUUCCCCAGAAGGGUGACCGGAGAGGGCGGGAGAAGCCCGCAGAGCCCACGGAGACAGCGCUGGCCCUGACCUUUCCCCUGACCGAAAACCUUCCCUGGCUCCCGCAUGCAGUGCAGGGUGGGGGCCGCGCAGGACCGUAACGAGCCAGCCCCGCGUCCCGCACCGGUGGUCAGGCGCACGUGGUGGGGGACGUAGGAAGGGGCGCCUGAGCCGGGGCCUGGGGACCCACGGUGGCGCAUCCCCUAGGGGCCUGGGUUACGGAGCUCUGACGUCAUCCUGAGGGCCUGCACAGUGUUUAGGGGGAGAAUCCGGUGCAGCCCAAACCAACCUUCCUUAACUUCGGUUUCCUACGCGCUGGGGAUAAGAACAGCACCCACGUCCACGACGUCGGAGGAUUAUAAGGGUAACGAUGCCGUUAGAAAUCAUUCAAUAAAUGGAGCGCUUUAUGAUGAUCUACUCCGUUUUGUUGGUUUUUUGGGAGUCGGCUCCGCACCAGCAAGGAAGAAAACAAGGAAAUCCUUGACCUCGCAGACCUCAUGAUGUUUUCCAUGGGGUUCGGGAGGGAAGACAAACAACAUGAUAAAUAAAGUUUAUGGCCGAGGGGACGAUGUUACGUGCUGGAGAGAAAAAGCGGACAGUUUGCAACCACCAGGGAAAUGUGAAUGUGUCUGGGCAGUAGAUGAUAGAAAGGGGCUGUUGGUGACUUUUUUUCGUUUAUUUGAUUUUUGAGAGGGAGAGCCCAGCGGGGGAGAGGCAAAGAGCGAGAGGGAGAUACCGAAUCCCAAGCAGGCUCCAGGCUCUGAGCUGUCAGCACUGAGCCCAACGCGGGGCUCGAACUCAAGAACCACGAGAUCAUGACCUGAGCCGAAGUUGGACCCUUGAGCCACCCAGGCGCCCCACUUCUGGACUUUUCAUAGGAGUGAUAGUGGCAUGAUGGAGGAAGGAGGCCUGACCCAAGGAACGCAGGAAGCUUCCAGAAGCUGGGAAAGGCAAGGAGAUGGAUUCCCCCCCCCCCCCCGAACCUCCAAAAGUAGUACAAUUCAGCCAACAGAAGGAUUGUAUCUCGGUGGGACUCAUCUUGGCCUUUUCCCUCCAAAAUGGUAACAAUAAAUUUGUGUCGUUUUGA